GUGGGGAUUAGAGUUUGAUCCUGGCUCAGGACGAACGCUGGCGGCGUGCCUAAUACAUGCAAGUCGAGCGGACAGAUGGGAGCUUGCUCCCUGAUGUUAGCGGCGGACGGGUGAGUAACACGUGGGUAACCUGCCUGUAAGACUGGGAUAACUCCGGGAAACCGGGGCUAAUACCGGAUGGUUGUUUGAACCGCAUGGUUCAGACAUAAAAGGUGGCUUCGGCUACCACUUACAGAUGGACCCGCGGCGCAUUAGCUAGUUGGUGAGGUAACGGCUCACCAAGGCGACGAUGCGUAGCCGACCUGAGAGGGUGAUCGGCCACACUGGGACUGAGACACGGCCCAGACUCCUACGGGAGGCAGCAGUAGGGAAUCUUCCGCAAUGGACGAAAGUCUGACGGAGCAACGCCGCGUGAGUGAUGAAGGUUUUCGGAUCGUAAAGCUCUGUUGUUAGGGAAGAACAAGUGCCGUUCAAAUAGGGCGGCACCUUGACGGUACCUAACCAGAAAGCCACGGCUAACUACGUGCCAGCUGCCGCGGUAAUACGUAGGUGGCAAGCGUUGUCCGGAAUUAUUGGGCGUAAAGGGCUCGCAGGCGGUUUCUUAAGUCUGAUGUGAAAGCCCCCGGCUCAACCGGGGAGGGUCAUUGGAAACUGGGGAACUUGAGUGCAGAAGAGGAGAGUGGAAUUCCACGUGUAGCGGUGAAAUGCGUAGAGAUGUGGAGGAACACCAGUGGCGAAGGCGACUCUCUGGUCUGUAACUGACGCUGAGGAGCGAAAGCGUGGGGAGCGAACAGGAUUAGAUACCCUGGUAGUCCACGCCGUAAACGAUGAGUGCUAAGUGUUAGGGGGUUUCCGCCCCUUAGUGCUGCAGCUAACGCAUUAAGCACUCCGCCUGGGGAGUACGGUCGCAAGA
rnacentral:rRNA from 1 species